rnacentral:rRNA from 1 species
GACGAACGCUGGCGGCGUGCUUAACACAUGCAAGUCGAACGGAGUGUCUAGCAAUAGAUGCUUAGUGGCGAACGGGUGAGUAACGCGUAGACAACCUGCCUUUUAGCCGGGGACAACACUUGGAAACGAGUGCUAAUACCGGAUGUGGUAUCGAAGCUGCAUGGCUUUGAUAAAAAAGAUGGCCUCUUAGUAAUAAUGCUAUCGCUAAAAGAUGGGUCUGCGUCUGAUUAGCUAGUUGGAGAGGUAACGGCUCACCAAGGCGAUGAUCAGUAGCCGGUCUGAAAGGAUGAACGGCCACACUGGGACUGAGACACGGCCCAGACUCCUACGGGAGGCAGCAGUGGGGAAUCUUCCGCAAUGGACGAAAGUCUGACGGAGCAACGCCGCGUGAGUGAAGAAGGCCUUCGGGUUGUAAAGCUCUGUUAUCGGGGACGAAUGUGAGACUUGUGAAUAAUGAGUCUUAAUGACGGUACCUGAGGAGGAAGCCACGGCUAACUACGUGCCAGCAGCCGCAGUAAAAC